GCGGGCAGGACCUCUUGCAGUGUCACCUGCACGCCCGGACUACUCACUUUACCAGGUGUUCCGCUACGCCAGAAAGAGCCACCUUGUGUUCCCUAGCGUCCGUGAACCUCAUACCCUGGAUGGUGCUCCGUCGCGAAGCUUGACACAUUCACUAAUAGAUAUAAAUGCUGAAACCAUAAAUUAUUGAAAUAUUUAAAGUUUUUUGCUAAGUAUAUGUAUAUAUAUAUAUACAUAAUAAAUGGAAAGAAAACAUAAUACGGGUAUUAAAGAUGAUGAGUAGCCAUUAUUAACUUUAGUGAUACAUUCAUGGAUAAUAACAGAGCUUAAUGAAGAGAGUAUAUGAGAGCAGUGCCAGGGGUAUCUAGUGGAGAUUGUGAUUGAGUUAUAACUAGUGGAAGUCCAGUGGUGGCAGGUCAACACAGUGGCUCUCACGGCUGCCCUCGCACUGUGUGUAUGCCGGAAAAAAUGUCAUGCAUGCAUAGGGAGUUCCAGAUUCUGGUGAGGUAUCCUCUACACCGUGAUUAGUGUCCUACCCGGAGCAGGUGAGGACCCUCGUUAUGCACAGCGACUGCUGCUGCCGCCUUCUUCUACUGCUCCUCUUCCUCCUCCUGAAGACGCCGACGCAGGCCAAGAUAAUACAGCCCAAGAAAGGACUGGAAUCCAGUCCGCUGACGGAGGUGGUGGUGCUGGAGGGUGGACGUGUUCUGCUGCCGUGCGACGUGUCACCUCCCAUCUCUAGCGACGAUACCAUCCUCGUCCUCUUCUACCGUGGCUCCUUCGGUACCCCCAUCUACAGCAUUGACGGUCGAAAUGGACCCGUGCGGGGAGGUCUCCACUGGUCGGACGAUGCGACGCUGGGCAACCGUGCUCGCCUGGACUUCUCAGCUCGUCCCCCGGGUUUGGUGCUGCACCCGGUGCGGGCGUCGGAUCACGACCUCUACAGGUGCCGGGUCGACUUCCGAUCCCACCCAACUAGGAACGUCCGCGUUCAGCUGCACGUCGUAGUACCGCCCCGGAGACUGUCGGUGGUGAGCCAAGCUGGUCUUGAAGUGAGCGGCGUCAUUGGUCCAUACCCCGUUGGUGACCCACUCACCUUACACUGCCGUGCUGAGAACGGUCGACCCCCUCCUCAGGUGACGUGGUGGACGAAGACGACCCUGCUGGACGACCAGAGCGAGGACAGACGAGGGGAGGUGACCCUCAACACCCUGACCUUGCCCGCCCUCACCCGGGACGACCUCUAUCGUGUGCUCACCUGUCAAGCUGUCAACUCCAAUUUGUCAGCCCCCACCGCUGUCACCCUCACCAUCGACAUGACGUUCCCGCCAGUGAGCGUGAAGAUCGGGGUCCCGCCUGACAGUCUAGCUGAGGGUGAGAGGUACAAGCUAGUGUGUGAAUCAAGUGGGAGUCGGCCCACAGCCAAGAUCACUUGGUGGAAGGAUGGCUUGCUCAUGACGGACGCUACAACACAGGUGUUCCAGGAGGGUAACGUGAGUCGGUCGACACUGCAGCUGACGCCGACGCUGGCAGAUCACGACACCUACAUCUCCUGCAGGGCGCAGAAUCCCCUGCUGACGGCGCAGGUCAUCGAGGACGUACUCAAGCUCGACGUGCGCUACAAACCCCGACUCUCCCUGGCGGCCGGUCUCAACCUGGACAUGGAAGACAUCAAAGAAGGUGACGAUGUGUACUUCGAGUGCGGCAUCCAGGCUAACCCAAGAGUCUACAAGGUGCAGUGGUUCCAUAAUGGCCAGGAGCUGAGCCACAACGUGUCUGCAGGAAUAAUUAAGAGCAAUCAGAGUCUGGUCCUACAAGGCGUGAGUCGAGACUCGUCAGGAGAAUACACUUGCUCAGCCGCUAAUCUCGAAGGCUCUGGCGACUCCAACGCCGUUCAGCUCAGCGUGAAGUUUGCGCCGACGUGUCGGACGGGGCAGAAGGUCGUGUAUGGUGCGGGGAAGAAUGAGCAGUUGAACGUAACGUGCAGCGUCGAAGCUCACCCUGAGCCCACUGCCUUCAGGUGGGCGUUCAACAGCUCUUCGGAGGUGAUGGAUAUCCCGGGCAGCAGGACCUGGGUGCUGGGGGAUGGUCUCAGUCAAGUAUCUUACACGCCUCGAACUCACCUCGACUACGGCUCUCUCCUCUGCUGGGCCACCAACGACGUCUCAAGACAGAGCCAGCCCUGCAUCUACCAUAUCAUACAUGCCUCCCCGCCUGACCCUGUCAGCAACUGCACCGUGGAAAACAUCAGCUCCAGCGGAGUAGGGAUCCGGUGUCAGGCCGGCUGGGAUGGCGGCCUGACACAGACGUUCACACUCUCCGUCAGUCACGCCCGCGCUCACACCGACGCCCACCACAGCAAGAAGGCCCCGCGGGUGCUAGCCAACACUUCCACCUCCCCGCGGCCGGAGUUCAGCCUGACGGGGCUGCAGCCGGGCACGGAGUACGUGCUCACCAUCCUGGGUGUCAACAAGAAGGGUCAAAGUGAGCCAGUUAGGCUGGCUAUAUUCACCCUUAAGGACGUGGCAGAGAAACGUACUAGCCCAGGUGUGGGCAUGGUCGGUCUGACACCGAUUGUGGGAGUGGUGGUGGCUGUGGUGACCUCAGUGGUGGUGACGUGUGUGGUGAUGGUGGUAGUGGUGAGGUCACGACGUCGCCACCUGCCUCGCCCCGAGGUCAAGAUGGUCUAUGAGAAGGGGUCUGGCAGUCCCUCUCAGGUGAGGAAUCAAGAAGAUCCCAUCGAUGCUGACGAACACAAUCCAGACCUCAUCCCUGUCAACCACGACCAGCAGAUGAAAGAGGCUCCCGAAGUAUACGCGAGCGAGGUGACGGCUGUUGCUGAGUCUCGCGCUUGCGACCCUCUGCGCGAAGGGCACGAUCAGCACGACAUGCUACAACAGCAGCAGCAGCAGUACGACACGAACCAGCACGACCUUCAGCAGCACAACCUACAACAUCAUGAUAUGCAGUUGCAUGACCUGCAGCAGCAUGACCUGCAGCAGCAUGACCUGCAGCUGCAUGACCUGCAGGACGACUUCCCAGCGAGAGACCGGCAGCCACAGCACGACUUGCAGCUCCGUGACCUGCAAAGUGACCUGCAGCAGAGCGAGCAGAUGAUACAGCAGCCUUAUGGGUCGUAUUACAUGGAUCCCAGCAGAUUCAUUCGACAGGCUUCACUGCCUACCAGGGAGAGUGACCCACUGCUGCUGCUUGGACGGUCAAUGGUGGCACCUACGCCCACUGCUAGCGCCUCGCCGCCCAAGGCUUACCCUCAUCACCUGCCCUCUAGCCACGCCCUACCAUCAUAUCCCCAUGACAUGUCUUCCACACCCUCAUCCCCGUCAUACCCUAACGAUAGGUCCUCCCUUCACGCCCCCAUAACGUACCCUCAUGAUGUCCCCUUCACCCCUUCCAUGACUUCCUUCUCGCGGGAGGAGGACCUGCUUCCUUUUCCUUACAGCCACCACCUUUCCACCACAACUCUGCCCAAGUCCUAUUCUCGAGAUCUCGCCUCGCUAUCCUAUGCUCAGGGUAAUCCUGCUCGCUCUUACGCCCAUCACCGACUUAGCCUGAGGAAUGAUCUCAUGCCUAUAGAACGGGGCGCCCCCUCGGUAUCGUCCUCCCGGCGCGGGUCGAUGUCUUUAGCAGCAACCAGUCCAGAGAGAGAGUCGCCUCUGGGUCCACUGGUCAGUCCCCUCUGUAGGCCUGACGACUUCACCUCCAGCCAGCGAGAAAGCUCGGUGUAGUCCCCAUUGACGAGGCCUCAGUCUUGUCGGGUGCUAAAUAUCCACCAUUUGUGGCUUGAAGAAAAAGCUUUAGGCCGCCUUGAUAAUGUAGGCCUAAGGCUCUAGGAGUCAGAAGCUGCAGUAGCUAACAGCUGCACCAGUCUUCAGGAACCAGGAGCUGUAGAAGUCUCCAGGAGUUAGCAGCUGAAGCAUUCUACAAGGAGCAGGAACCGCAGCUGAGUCCAGAGAUCAGGAGCAGCAGCAAUUUUCCAGAGCUCAAGAUACUGCAGCAGUCUUCUGGGACCAGGAGCUACAGCAUUCUCCAGGGACCAGAAGCUGAGGCAUUCUCCAUUGCAUGGAAUGCAGUGGCAGCAGUUUCCCAAGGCGAGAGGCUUCAACAGAGCCCAGCAAGCAGCUAGAGCAGUCUGCAAAGCCGUCGGCGGUAAGAAAUCUUCAGCGAUGAACAGGUGCAAUAAUGUCAAGUGACCAGCAUUUGGGGAUGUUUUGAGAAUAUCGCAGUUGUAUCAGUCGUCUCUAUGAUAUAGCAGCUGUAUCAUCGACAGGCCAGAAGCUACAGCCUCCACGCAGCUGCAGCCUAUGUUGAUCAACAGCUGCAUCAGUAUCCAAGGUUAACAAAUCUAGAAAUGAACAAGCAUCAGCAGUUGCAACAAUGUCCUAAGACCAGUAAUUGAAAGUCUCCGGGAAGCAGCUGAUACAACAAUCCGCGGAGGCUAGCAGCUGCAGGAGACUCCGAGCAUGAUGGCAGUGUGCAAGGAUAACCAUCUGUAGCAGCAUGUAAGGAUAAAGCAAUGCAGGAAUCUCAAGCAAUGAGGAGGACGAAGUUGCAUGCAGUGGUCUUCUAUGAUAAUCAUGUGCAGCAACCUUCAGGGACCAGCGUCAGCGUCUACAGUGACAAAACAGCCUCGAUGGAUCAUAAGUUGCAGGAACCUCCAAGAUCAUGCAGUAAAUUGUAGCAUCCUCCGCCAUGAAGGUACUUGCUGUCCAUUAGCAGAGACGGCGGAACCUCCACGACCCCUCGAGUACUUCUCAUAAUUCCUUCCCACGUCACUGAAGAGGGUCACACGAAAAAAUAUUACUCACAUUAAAAAUUCCCAAUAUUUUGUUAACAUACAAAUAAUUUAACUAAUGCGCUAGUAUGCAGUCCGAGUGAGUAGGCUGAGGCUACUUUAGAAAAGUAUGGCUGCACUUACAAUUAAGUUUCACGUUCCCUUGAAUAAAUAAGUGAUAAACAUUUACAGAGAAAUAUUUUAAGUACGCACAAGAAAAUAACUCAUAUGACUAUUUUGUACCAGGACAAACGAGUUAUGUGGAUGUUCCAUGAACACGUUGUGAAAUUAAGGGAAAUAUUUCUUGGGAAAUAUAGCCUCCUCAUAAUGAGGAAAUAACCUUGACGGUGAUGAGGGAUGAUCCCUGAUGAGUGUUACUGAAGAUGUGAGGUGAUUCCUACCUGCUGAGGUGACGAGUUUACCACAGAUUGGUAAACUGGGCGUGGUGUGUAGCAGAAACUGUCUUAAGCCCUGACGGAGAGUCUUAACUGUUGCUUUACGACUGUCUCGAAUGACAGUCAUCUGUCAUUGAUGUCUUCUGUCUGUGUGUCUGUCUCUUCAUCUCAUUCCCUUCAUUUCCCUCUGUCUUUCGUUCUUUUUCGAUUAUACAAUAAUUGU